UCGCCUGCUGUAUGACCGUCACGGCGGCCAUACCCGUGCGAUUUUUGAAUCUGGUCGUGCCGCUGGCCACCGGCCACCGCCACGCGCAUCAGGGAAACCACCGGGCGGCGCCUGGCAGGUCCCGCGCAGUUUCCCCGCUGAUCGGCCCCGGCCUUCGGCGAGGCGACGUAGAUAGCACGACACG
rnacentral:sRNA from 1 species